rnacentral:rRNA from 1 species
UACGUAGGGGGCAAGCGUUGUCCGGAAUUAUUGGGCGUAAAGGGCACGCAGGCGGUUUUCUAAGUCUGAUGUGAAAUCUCGCGGCUCAACCGCGAGCGGUCAUUGGAAACUGGGGAACUGGAGUGCAGGAGAGGAGAGCGGAAUUCCACGUGUAGCGGUGAAAUGCGUAGAGAUGUGGAGGAACACCAGUGGCGAAGGCGGCUCUCUGGCCUGAUACUGACGCUGAGGUGCGAAAGCGUGGGGAGCGAACAGG